GUGGUCUAAUUGUUAGAUGCCAAAUCGAUAAUCGGCAACGUUGAAUAUAAUUUAGACUAUUUAAAUUAUUUAGAAAAUUAAUUUUUAUACUUUUUUGAUAUCACUAACCAAACGAUCAAAGGAUCAAAAAAAAUUAUAAUUUUAAUAGCUGGCACGGUGCGUUUGCUAGUUUAACGGUAUAGAAAAAUUCAAAUCAGCUGAAUUUAUAUUUGAAAGUUUUUAAAACUAUUUGAAACAAGAUUUAGACUCUACAUCUUAAAUACAAAAUUUUUAUCAUGUCUUUUUGAAGGAUAUUCAUUUUCAGCUAUUCACCUUAUAUUCACUUGAUGGUCAAGAGAAUAAUAUCAGAAAAGUAUGAAAUUUUUAGAUAAUUUAAAUUGUUUAAAUUAUAUUCAACGGUAUUGAUUGUCGAUUUGAGAGCUCUAUUAUCGAGAAAAAAUUGAUAAUAAACCAAGCGGUUUAUAGGGAUGGCAAUAGGUAUGGAUGCUCAAAAUUUUAUCCGAACCCAAACCCGAACGGAGUGAAUUUGUCCGAUGCUAAAUGGAUAUAACUUCGGAUAUGGAUAUUAAAAAUAAAAACUCGACAGAUAUGAAUACGGAUAUGAAUUUUGACUAUACUCCACUCGAACCCGAACUCGACCAGAACCAUAAUUUAUUUUACAUUAUAUAUAAUAUGUAUAUAAAAAUUUGAUGUUAUAUUUGAAUUUGUAUUUUAAAAAUUUAGAUUUAGUGUAAUAUAUUUUGAAAUAUUGAAUAGAUAAAUAAUUAUUUCGGGUUCAAAUUUUGGGAUUUGGGUUCGGGUUCGGGUUUUGGAUUUUUGGUCGUUGUCGAGUUUGGAUAUGGAUUUUUAAAAUCCGUCAGGUUCAGGUUCUAGUUCGGAUUUCGGGUUUGGAGUCGAGUUCGGGUUCGGGUUCAAUUUUUAAGAACCCAUCCCGAAUCUGACCCGUUGACAUCUCCAGCGGUUUAAAGAGAGAGAGAGAGAGAGAGAGAGAGAGAGAGAGAGAGAGAGAGAGUUGAGCAUAAUGGAUCUUCCAAAUAAGCCUUCAUUGCUACUUAUUUAUUUUCGAUAAUGGAGUUUUCAAAUCGAAAUCGGUAAUGUUGAAUAUGAUUUAGACUAUUUAAACUAUCUUGAAAAUCAUAUUUCAUGCUUUUCAAUAUUGUUCUUUUGUCCAUUAAACGGACAUAUAAAUGAACGACUGAAAAUAAAUAUUUUUCAAAAAGUGAUGAUAGAGUCUUGUAAUCAAAAUUAAGAGUCUAAAUUUUAUUUUAAAUUGUUAAAAAAAAAUUUCCGUAUAUCUAAAAUUCAAUUGAUUUGGAUUUUUUUUAUAAUGUUAAAUAAGAAAA
rnacentral:lncRNA from 1 species